rnacentral:rRNA from 1 species
CGUCUAGGCGGAGCAGCAAGUCGGCUGUGAAAUCCCUCGGCUUACCCGAGGAAGUGCAUCCGAUACUGCUGUUCUUGAGGACGAGAGGGGAGAGUGGAACUCCUGGUGGAGCGGUGAAAUGCGUAGAUAUCAGGAGGAACGCCGGUGGCGAAAGCGACUCUCUGGCUCGUUCCUGACGCUGAAGCGCGAAAGCUAGGGGAGCGAACG